GACGUAGGAGGCGAGCGUUGUCCGGAUUCAUUGGGCGUAAAGAGCUCGUAGGCGGCUUGGCAAGUCGGGUGUGAAACCUCCAGGCUCAACCUGGAGACGCCACUCGAUACUGCUAUGGCUAGAGUCCGGUAGGGGACCACGGAAUUCCUGGUGUAGCGGUGAAAUGCGCAGAUAUCAGGAGGAACACCGGUGGCGAAGGCGGUGGUCUGGGCCGGCACUGACGCUGAGGAGCGAAAGCGUGGGUAGCAAACAGG
rnacentral:rRNA from 1 species